rnacentral:rRNA from 1 species
CUUAAAGGAAUUGACGGGGACCCGCACAAGCGGUGGAUGAUGUGGAUUAAUUCGAUGCAACGCGAAGAACCUUACCUACCCUUGACAUGUCCGGAACUUGCCAGAGAUGGCUUGGUGCCCGAAAGGGAACCGGAACACAGGUGCUGCAUGGCUGUCGUCAGCUCGCGUCGUGAGAUGUUGGGUUAAGUCCCGCAACGAGCGCAACCCUUGCCAUUAGUUGCUACGAAAGGGCACUCUAAUGGGACUGCCGGUGACAAACCGGAGGAAGGUGGGGAUGACGUCAAGUCCUCAUGGCCCUUAUAGGUGGGGCUACACACGUCAUACAAUGGCCGGUACAGAGGGUAGCCAACCCGCGAGGGGGAGCCAAUCCCACAAAGCCGGUCGUAGUCCGGAUCGCAGUCUGCAACUCGACUGCGUGAAGUCGGAAUCGCUAGUAAUCGCAGAUCAGCAUGCUGCGGUGAAUACGUUCCCGGGUCUU